GUAUAACCGCAACUGCUGGCACAAAAUUUGUUAUUAAUUUAAAUAUUACUAAAUCUUAAUUACUUAAAUUUUUAAUUCUAAUUACUACAAAUAAAUAUUAAUUAUUAUUUAAAUAAAUUAAAAAUUAACACUAAAAUUUAUAUGUAAAAUAAAUUUAUAAUAAAUUUUUAAACCAUAAAUAAUUUUAUU
rnacentral:rRNA from 1 species